GCCCCCUUAGCUUUACUCUUCAACUAUUUUCAGUCAAAUCCUUGAGAUGUGCCAUCUAUUUCCUGCCAGGACCACAAAGGAUACAUUCAGGCUGUUGGACAAGUCAGAUAAUCUCUUUGACCUUUAAUUUCCUUUAUCUGUAAAACCGGAUAAUACCUAUAUUGUCCACCUUGAAGGGUUGUUAGGAGGACCAAUCAUGCAUGUGAAUUGUAGAGUGUCAUAAAAAUGCAAACCAUGGGUAGCGAAUCAUCUGUUAAUGUUGAUUUCCCAACCAGCUUUCUUUAGGCACUUCAUAAGUUUUUCUUACCUUCCUCUCUUGAUAAAUUGAUACAAGCUUUGGGAGUGCAAUUUCACAUUGACUAAAGGCAAGCAGAAGUGGGAACAGGAAUCCUCUAUUCCACGCAUUUGAAAGCUAAAUAUAAAGCAUCCUUAGGUUUAUCAUGUCUCUGCUCCCCUUCUCAGCAGUAUGUAGUUCAGACCUGGGAGGGCGGUAUAGAAGAUCUUAACAUACCUUUGUUUCUGCCUGGAAUUUUUACCCUUGAUAAUAAUUUCGUCAAACAAAAUUCCCCCAUAGUACAGUGCAUGUAUCACUCACAUCUCUAUGAGAUUGUAAAGCUUCUUUAUAAUGUUUCUGAGGAUACGGGAUCCUAUAUAUAUAUUUUUAUGACUCAUAGUAACUCUCAUACUGUUAAGUACAUAUUUGAUAAAGUAGAUACUUGGGAAAUGGAUGGCUAGGUGUUAAGUGCACAUUAGUUGAUAUUGAGAUUUCUCAAGCGUGAUAAUAUGCAUUCACUGGUUUUAUGCAAGAGCAUGCUCUCUCUGAUUAGCGUGGCCCUCUCUUUGCAUGCAUGGAAAGUAUUUGUUUAACAAAUGAAUAUUUUAUGGACAUCUGUUGCGUUUUAUGUGUGUAUUUUAUUGUGUGAUUUGGCACAUGCAGGACUAAAAUUCAAGAGGAGAAAUUCUUCCUCCCUGUCCCCAUCUUACUAGGUUGGAACCCAGUAAAAUGAUGUUACAAAACAAAAUAAAUAUUGAAAAUGAAGAAUGCUUUUCCAUCUAGUCUUCCCAAAGCUAAUUAAGAAAACUAGUGCUGCUCCUGAAGACUAGGUAAACCCAAACCCAAAUGUUCAGGGGGAAGCAUUUACAUUUCAGAAUGUUAGGCCUGGGAAUAGUGAGUGCUGGUUUACCCUCAGCGCAGGCUCUAGAAAGGGUACACAGACAAUGGUAUGAGAGAAUUCAGACAGAAUUAAUUCCAGGGAAGGAGAAGUUUCUUAAGUCACUUCAUGAUGGUUUGAUUGCCAAGGAAGGAUACUUUAGGGUUAUAUAGGAAAUAAUUUUUGACAUGUAAGGCCAGGAAUUAAAGGCAAAGAAACAGUUGCAGAGUAAGCACAGAAUGACCCAAAUUCAAAGAGGGUACGGUCCUGAAGCAGAGACCUGGAGUGCUAUAUUGUACUUAGUGGAAAUGGGGGAAAUGGUGCAAAGUUAACACUCUGAGGAAUCAGAGCCCAUCUGAAUGAUUGUGGAAUUGUAAAUCUUAUCUCUGGAGCAGCCAGUUUGAAUCAGAAUUUAAAUACUACCAGCCAAAGGCUGACAAACAGUCCCAGAAUGUAGAGUGUCUGCCAAUGUCUGUUACUUGAGGAUAGAUGGAUUUGGUUCUGAUGUGAUCAUUCUCUAUUGGCAGCAGAGACCUGUUAUGAGACAGAGUGCUAGGAAACAAACAAGACAUUUACUUAUUUUCAAAUCAGAAAUUCCAGAACUCCUUUACCUAGGGUGAUUAUCUUUUGAAUUAAAAAAUUGAAACAUUAUUUGAAAUGUAUAUUUGAAUUUUAUAGAUUCCCUGGGCUAAAACUUUUUGGUUGCCCCAACAAAAGAGGAUUAGGAAAAAGCAUAAACGAAUAGAUGAUUUUAAGGAAGGCAGCAGGCCAGAUCAAACAAAGGUCAGAAGCAAAACCAUUCAAAACAGGUAUAGGCUAUCAUAGUCAUCUUUCAGGUUCCUAACUCAUAGUAAGUGCUCAACAAAUUUUUGUUCAGCAACUAAGUGAAUAUUGAGUAUUAUGAUUUCAGAAAGACAUAUGAUUAUUUCUCAUGACAUAAUUGUGAAUCAGAUAAGGAAAUACAGAGUGGAUUUAUGGUUGGUUAAAUCACUAGCCUAGAAAGUCAUUGGUCAAUAUGAAUCUAGGGAAGUCUCCAGUGACAUACAUUGAGACUUUGUCUUAAGCCAAAUCCUAUACUGUAUAAUCAGUGACUUAAAGAAAUAAAUAAAAGAUUAUAAUUGAUUAAUUGCAUUUAUGUAACUCUUGGUAGUCUUUAAAGUUCUCAAGUUCUACAGUUCUAAGAUCUCUUUGCCAUCUUGAUUUCUCCUAUUUCCUGAUUCUGCUUUGCGACUUUCCCCAUUUUCACCUCAUUUCCCAGUCUCUUUUUUUAAAUUCAAGAAUAAUUUAUUAAGCAGCUUUUUAAAUAUGUUGCUCUGUUAAGUAGCUUGGAUAUAAAAAUGAAGAGUAUAGUGUUCCUGAUCUUAUAGAAAUCACAUUCUAGCUGGGCAGAAAGUCAUGUAAUAAGCACAUUAUGAUAAAAUAGGAUAAGUUCUACAAUAGUAACAUGGGAUGUUUCCUGCAAGCACAUGGAAAAGAAAGAUUAAUCCUUCUGGAGCUAUAGAACAUGCAUGUAGAUGUUGUUGAUGGAUUAUAGAGGUAGGGGGGUUUGAGUGGGAUGUAUAGAAUGAGUAAAGUAUUGGAGACCACAUUCCAGGUAAAAAGUAUGGAUAAAAGUGUGAAAGUGCCUACUGUGUUCAUGGAAUGGCUACUAAAGCUCGAGUGGGCCUACAGUUUGGUUUAGAGUGUGGUGCUACUUGGAUUAGGGAAGGAAAAUGAAAUGGAAAACUAGGAUAAGUUGAGAGAAUCAUGCUCUUUCCACUGCCAUUUCCUUCCUUUCCUCACAUCUUGAACUUAAAGCUCUACAGAACUUAUUACUAUUAGUGAGCACACCAUGUUCUUUUGUUCUGCUGAGAUAUUUAGAUGUAUAAAGCUGGAGGAAUUUCUGCCUGAGAAAAGUCCACCUUCCUCUGCCGAAAAAAUUUCCCUGCAUUCUUUAUGACCUCACUUGAAUAUCAACUAGUGUUUACUGAGAGCCUACUAUGUAUAGAGCCAAUAUAUUAUAAUCUUCAUGUUUUCAAUGGCCUAUGGUGGGACUUUACCUUGUCAUCAUGGAGUCAAUUCUUCUUAAUAAACUCCCUUUCAUGUAUACGUAUAUCCUAUUAGUCCUGUCCCACUGGAGAAUGCUGACUAAUAUACCCAGCACAUAUAAAAAGUUGUGUUUACACUAUACUGUAGUCUAAUAAGUGUACAAUAGCAUUAUGUCUAAAAAAUAUACAUACCUUAAUUUGAAAAUUGUUUAUUUCUAACAAAUGCUAAUGAUCAUCUGAGCCUUCAUCCUAUGGGGUGGUAGAGACUUCUAGCACUUGUUAAUCUCUAGAUUCCUUCAUGGUCCCCUGUUAGCCUUCAGCACUUCCAACACAUUUGAAAAUAUUCCCUAGGGUUUAGUUUCUCUGCCUGUACACCAAUAUUUAAAGUUCUAGGCACUUUACAUAUAUUAAUUAACUCUCUAAAUAGCAAUUCUAUGAGGUAGACACUAUUAUUUUCCUCAUUUUGGAAAUGAAGAAACCAAGGUAAAUACAGAUUCAGUAGCUUGUCCAAGGUCCAACAGGAAGUGGUAGCCUGAAAACAAGCAGUCAAUUUCCAGAGCCUAAACUCUUUUUUUUUUAAAGAGCCUAAACUCUUACUACUAAAUUAUAUUGCCUCUCAUCAGAACCAAAUUAUUCACCCUUGACUCCAAACAUUUCUAACUGAAGGAUUCUUCCCUCAAUUCUGAGGUCAGGGUCAUUGGCAUUUUGUCAAAUGUCUCUAGUGAUGCUUCUAUUUUUAGUAGGGCAAGUGGCCAAGGGACUGCUUGUGUUACCCUCCAUGAACCCCUAAGAUCCAUUUUGCUUUCUUUCUGUGUUUUCUCCCCUCUGUUGCCACUCCAGGCCUCCUACCAGGGUCACUCACUGAGUUGUCUUGGUCCCAGUAGUGCACUCAGUGCAUCCAGAGGUGCCUCUUGCUCCAGUUUUGCUCCGUGUCUCAAUUCUGCCUUUUGCCAGGUUCAUUGGUGCAUAAGGACAGGUCAGAGAUAAAUUACAUAACACAUUGAUGAUUCUAAUGAUGAACUGAAUACUUCCCAGAAAAAUUCCACUGUCUUUUCCCAUAUAGCACUGUCAUAAAUAUACACUGGCUCUUCAUUUGGGAUUCUGUGAAUAUAUCAUGUAAUUUUGUAUUUCUAUAUUUUUUCUCUUACUGUCUUCAUUAUUUGAAAUGUCCUUGCCUUCUCUCUCCUCUGGGUGAAAUAUUACUCAUCUUGAAAGGGAAACGCAUACCAAAAUCAUGAGAUAGUACUUCACACCCACUAGGUUGGCAAUAAUCAAGAAGAUAGAUAAUAGCAAGUGUUGAAUAUUUCAGUGAAAGGUUUUUUUUUUUUGACAAUAACCAAUCUUGAUAUUCCUUCCUCAAAUUAUAAAGUUGUAGACAUUAAUUAAGAUCAAGGCAUUGCAACUGUCUGGUCAUGUGCAAGAAUAUAAACCUAGUUCACUCCUUCAGUGACAGCCCCAACAUGACUGCUCCCUGGAUAAUAGAGAAUAUAAGAUGCCACCUAUUUAAGACAAGUCUUAAGUUCAGAAAUGUUAAAAUAUAGAAAAAUGUGUAUUUUAGAAUUAAUGAAAUGUGGCAUUAACAUUGUUAAAUUUUUCUAUAAUUGCAAUAAUUUAAAAAGUUUUAACAAAACUUUAUAUGCCACAUUAUCACUAUAUUAUCUGGAGCACCUUGUGUGAAUCUUUGCUAUAUAAACAAGAAGCAGCUUAAUUGCAAAACAACAUCUGUAUUUCCAUAUCCUUUUUAUGAAAGGAUAUGGAACAGAUGUUCACUGGGAACUGACAAUCUAUGGAGGCAAAGGGGAAUAGUUCUAGGGAUUCAGAGUCAUUCAGGAAUAGGAGUUUUUCCUUUAUUAUACUCCAUGGAAAACACAGUGUCACAAUUUCAGGCUAGGAAUGGAAUAAGAUUAUGUUGUUUGAAAGUGCAGUUUUUUAAUUAGAAUGUAAUCACCAGGACUUCUUUUUGUAGAAAAGAUGGUUAAGUGUGAUGCAUUCUAAAGGCUCUCUUUCCAACAAAUUCCUAUCACCAGCCUAUCUUAUGCUUGAAAUUGAUUGUAUCAGGUUGAAGCUUUGCAUCUCCAGAAGUCUUCUUUAAACACAGUCACAAAAGAGAUAGUAAUAUCAGUCAUUAAAAGAGUUAUUAGAAGAACAUUAUUUCUAGAAGAAAUUGGAUAAGAGAAUAACUAGCUGAGCAUUUCAGAUAUAUUAAUCAAUUGAAUAAUUCAUGCUCAGUCAAACUAUUUAUUAUGAAUCAGCUAUGUAUCUGCCACUGUGAUAGGUUCUGGUUAUACACACAUAAUUGAGACACUACUGCUGACUUCAAGGACUUACAGUCUAGUAGGCAAGACUGACAAGUAAACAAAUAACUAUCAUACAUUGCAAAUCCCCCUAAAGCCUGUGAAGUGGGUUUAGCCAUUCUAGUGCGUAGGGAUGAAUGUGAGCUCUGAAAAUAGCUAUGCUCUGGAGAAAGAAUAAAUGAUACUGUGAAGUAGAGAAGUUACAGUUAUUGUAAAAAUUGAUGCCACUAAACUAAAGCCAAAUUUCUUUUUGGCAUCUGGAUUACUUUAUGAUGUGGCAGGAUAUAAUCAUUUCUUAUUCUUUCCCCCUCCUACAUACUGCUGAUGCUAAGUUGUGGGUGAAUUUAGCUAAGAUCUAGAGGCUCCUUUCUUCUGCCCAGCCCCAACUCAUGGGACCGAGGCUGUACCUUGGUUGUGGUACUGUUGAGAAUACUGGAGCCUUCAUUAGCCUAGGUAAUUCUCAGACCUACCUUAUGGUCUGAGAGUUUCACAGUGAGAGAAACAAGCCCAGGACACCUUUGACUGUUGCCCUCUAUCAACUGAGUGUUCAGCUCUCAAGAAGCUAAACAAGCAACCAGCCAUAACAAGCCCCAGAAGGAAUACCCUGAGUUGCUACAAUAUAUUAUCUAAAAUAUCCAGUUUCAAACAAAAAAAAAUAUGCAUGCAAAGAAACAGGAAAGUAUGACCCAUACACCAGAAAAAAUGCAACAGAAAUGAGACGGGGCCUUUGGGAGAAAGCAUCACGAAGCAGAAGAAAAAUGUAAUAAAAAGCUCCAAACUUGAUUUAGAAUUCUUAAGCAUUUGUUGAUAUGAAAACAUUAAAGGCAAAGUGGACAAAAAGCUAUAGAAAUCAAAAGAGAUUGACUAAACUCAGGAAAGAAAUUAGGAAAAGGAGAAAAUUAUCAUAAAUAUGAAGACUAAAUUAAAGAGUGCCUAAGGGAGGACAGACUGAAAUGAAAAUUUUAUGGUAUAUUGAAGUAGGAAAACAUAAAAGAUAUUGAAAAGUGACACACAGAAAAGUAAAAUGGAACAGAAAAGAAGUGGCUGAAAUGGAAGACAGGCAAAGAAGAAGACAUAUUAAUUAUAGUCUUUGUGGGUACACUAGCAUGUCAGAAAUCAUCACUAAAGAACUUAUCCAUGUAACCAAAAACCACCAGUCCCCCAAAAACUAUCGAAAUAAUAAUAAUAAAAAAAACUAUAGUCCCUGAAGCAGAAAAAGAAAACAAUAGAACAGGGCUAAUAUUUAAAACUUUAAUUCGAGAACACUUUCCAGAAAUAAAUGAAGACCUGUAUGUGCAUAUAGUAAGAGCUCAGUGGGUAGCUGGAAAAAUCAACCUGGAAUGGUGAACUUUGAGGCACAUCCUAGUAAAACUAUUAGAUUUUGAAAUCUAAAAAAUAAUUUUCUUAAGCCCUCCUACCAAAAAUAUUAAAUGAUUUACAAGGAGGAAAACAUAGAC
rnacentral:lncRNA from 1 species